rnacentral:rRNA from 1 species
GAUGAACGCUGGCGGCGUGCCUAAUACAUGCAAGUAGAACGCUGAAGGAAGGAGCUUGCUCUUUCCGGAUGAGUUGCGAACAGGUGAGUAACGCGUAGGUAACCUGCCUGGUAGCGGGGGAUAACUAUUGGAAACGAUAGCUAAUACCGCAUAACAGUAGAUGUUGCAUGAUAUCUACUUAAAAGGUGCAAUUGCACCACUACCAGAUGGACCUGCGUUGUAUUAGCUAGUUGGUGAGGUAACGGCUCACCAAGGCGACGAUACAUAGCCGACCUGAGAGGGUGAUCGGCCACACUGGGACUGAGACACGGCCCAGACUCCUACGGGAGGCAGCAGUAGGGAAUCUUCGGCAAUGGACGGAAGUCUGACCGAGCAACGCCGCGUGAGUGAAGAAGGUUUUCGGAUCGUAAAGCUCUGUUGUAAGAGAAGAACGAGUGUGAGAGUGGAAAGUUCACACUGUGACGGUAUCUUACCAGAAAGGGACGGCUAACUACGUG